CCACUCCAGCCUACCUCUAAGGUUAUCCAACACUUCAACAGUCUUCUCCACUCCAGCCUACCUCUAAGGUUAUCCAACACUUCAACAGUCUUCUCCACUCCAGCCUAGCUCUAAGGUUAAAUCAACACCUAAACAGUCUUCUCCACUCCAGCCUACCUCUAAGGUUAUCCAACACUUCAACAGUCUUCUCCACUCCAGCCUACCUCAAAGGUUAAAUCAACACUUCAACAGUCUUCUCCACUCCAGCCUACCUCUAAG